GACCUCGUUAUUUGCGCCUACGUAAGGU
rnacentral:sRNA from 1 species